AGUAAAUAGACACCCCGGUACGUCCACGCCGUAAACGAUGAGUACUAGGUGUAGGAGGUAUCGACUCCUUCUGUGCCGCAGUUAAACACAAUAAGUACUCCGCCUGGGAAGUACGGUCGCAAGAUUAAAACUCAAAGGAAUUGACGGGGGCCCGGCACAAGCAGCGGAGCAUGUGGUUUAAAUUCGAAGCAACGCGAAGAACCUUACCUAGACUUGACAUCUCCUGAAUAGUGUAGAGAUACAUGAAGCCCUUCGGGGCAGGAAGACAGGUGGUGCAUGGUUGUCGUCAGCUCGUGUCGUGAGAUGUUGGGUUAAGUCCCGCAACGAGCGC
rnacentral:rRNA from 1 species